AUUAAAGCUUUGAAAGAGAGUCGACUUUUCACAAUUGCUUAUAGAGAGCCGGUGAUGCUGGAACCCGGCGGCAAGGAAAGGAAGAUAUCACUCUGGAGCUGUUUCGGUGAAUAGUCAGCCGAAAACGAUUGACCCUGUUAUAGGUCUAGGUUUGUUAGAACCGAUAGAGAGGCACUCAGUGCAACCAAGGUGGUACCGCGGAUUAUUUCGUCCUUGAA
rnacentral:ncRNA from 1 species